CUGUGUGUGGUCACUAUGGUUUCCUGUGAUGUCAUCCCCAGGCCAAACAGCUGUUUCCAGAGGGGGAGGCGAAGAGGGCGGGACCCGAGGCUGCCGUCAAGAGGUCCAGAGCUGCUGAUGAAGACUACAGUCAGAGAGGAAGCCCCCCCCCCAAGAAGAGAAGAGCUCGUCCUGCAGCUGCAGCCUCCUCUGAUCGACCUCACACCUUCUCCACUCAAGUUAAGGUGAAGUCUGAGCCUGUGAAGAAAGACGGACCGAAGGUGAGUCAGCACAUCACACAUG